rnacentral:rRNA from 1 species
UACGGGGGGAGCAAGCGUUGUUCGGAUUUACUGGGCGUAAAGGGCGCGUAGGCGGCCACCGCAAGUCGACUGUGAAAUCUCCGGGCUUAACCCGGAACGGUCAGCCGAUACUGCGGGGCUAGAGUGCAGAAGGGGCAACUGGAAUUCUCGGUGUAGCGGUGAAAUGCGUAGAUAUCGAGAGGAACACCUGCGGCGAAGGCGGGUUGCUGGGCUGACACUGACGCUGAGGAGCGAAAGCGUGGGGGAGCGAACAGG